GUUACGGGGUUACAACACUUGCCGACAGCCAACUGGCUUCCAUCAUACCACUCCGUCCAGAUAAAACAUUUUGGUUUUAUUUCGAAAACAUUUUUCCAAAGACAUACUCGCUCAUAAAGAGCACUUAAUACUUUUCAAUAUAGUUUGGGUCCCGUCCCGUUAUAAUAGUAUAGCAUGCUUUGGAAAAAUGUAAAUACAUAACCUAUGGUAUUUGGUGGCAAGGCAAUAAAAUCCUAUAAGCAAUCUACUAGGAAUAACUAAACAUGUUGAAAACGCAUUUGAUAAAUACUUUAUAAAAAAAUAACUCUAACAUGCAUCCCUAUGACAUUGUAAACAAAAUAGCAUAAGCAAAUAUAUAGGUACUACAUGAUCAAUAAGUGUAACUUGCCUGGAUCAGGAAAGUUGUUGCGGUCGUCAACUCCCAGGCACUCGUCGCAAUCACAGUCCGAAUAAUCUAACGCGAAGAACGAAGCAACAAUAAAUGCAUAGUUCCAAACAUCUCUCAAAAUCCAAAUAUAACUCCAAAUGAACUUCGAAUAAAUGAAUUUAAUCCAACACUCAAUAACAGAACCUAAACGUCAUCUAUGUAAUACCAUAGUAUUAACAAACCAAGUUCUGAAGCCUAAGGCCAAGGCUAGAGUGGCUAAGUCUGAAAUUCAGUAAUCUGCUCCUGUUAACAGGUUGCAACUAAGGUUGAUAGGUAAAAGGUGCUAAAGUAUAGUACAUGGCAUGAAACAUAUGCUAGAGUAGAAUAAUAAGAUUGUACUAACUAACGCAACAGGUAUCAGGUCAAUUGGAUCUACAGAUCGAAAGUUACUGGCUUGCAAAGGUGGCUAGUCAGAUUCUGACAGAUAAUGGAUACUAAAUUCUACUGAAAAGCUAUUGGUGCUAAACUAUUCCAAUGACAGAGAACUAAACAUACGAAUCCAAGAAUAUAGUCUACUCUUCCAAAUGUAACUGGUUUUACGAACUAAGGAGAUAUGAGGCAGUAGGUAUGAAUAGAUGAAUGUGGCUACUCUAAAGCAGAACAGUACAUGAUACGAACUCUUGCUGUUGUGCUACUAGUGAAGAUGAAUUUGAAAUGGCCCAACUAGGUAACUACUGUGCAAGGGUGUACCUAAGGUUCUAACUACAGCAAGAAUCAACUAAAAUGAUGCUACGAACAACAAGAAGAACUUCUGCGAACUAGUCUACUCGGUAAGAAUGGUGCUACAACUUCCUGCCGCGGCAGAGAUACGGCAGAGAGGCUGCUAAGAAUACAGUUUUGCAACGACGAUGCAAUGCUCAAGAUGAACCAUCUAUGACUACUAUCUACAGAAAAAUUAUAGAUAAACAUACACUCUACACAAUGGUGAAAACGAGAGCACAUCAUGAUCAGAGGGUUGCUAAAUAUCGACGCCUAAAGGAAGCUAACCGAAGAACAAGGAAGAUGAACCAAAUCAUACCCAAAUCUCUCUGGAGAAGAAUGGAAUCGGUGAAUCAAAGCUCGGGGACGAAGAAGAAGGGUUGGAGAAGGAUCAAGAGUAUAAAAUACUUUUCAGGAUCUAUAAUUCACCCGAAAAUCCAUUUAAAUCAUUUAAAAUAUUAAAUGGCUUCAGAAAAAUUCCCAAAAAUUCUGUAAAAUAAUAUAUUCUAUCUAGAGUCCAGGAAAAUUAUUCCCACUCAAAAAUAAAAUAAUAAAAAUAGUUUUAAUGCCUUUAAGCUUCAAAUAAAUCCAAAUAAAAAAAAAAUCCCAGAAUGCAUUUUUAAAUUCUAGAAAUUUUUCAAAUCAAAUUCUAUCAACCUAACACAUUCCAAAACACCAUUUCAAACACUUUCAAUAAAGCAUCAUAAUGAAACACGAAAAUUUUAAGAUAUGAUCAAGGUGAUAUGCAUGAGAAAUGAAAAGAUGUGAACAUCCGAAAUUGAAAAUUUGGGAUGUUACAGCCUCAUCCCUAUCCUGCAUGUCAGAUUCCUGCAGUGCCCAAGGUACAUAGCAAUUUUUUUUUGAAAUGUACGAAAAACAAUAUAAACUGGAUAACCUCUUGCCUCCCAGCCCCCGGGC
rnacentral:lncRNA from 1 species